CCUACGGGUGGCUGCAGUGGGGAAUAUUGGGCAAUGGGCGCAAGCCUGACCCAGCAACGCCGCGUGACGGAAGAAGGCUUUCGGGAUGUAAACUUCUUUUCUGAGGGACGAAAAAAGUGACGGUACCUCAGGAAUCAGCCACUGCUAACUACGUACCAGCCGCCGCUGUAAUCAGUGGGUUGCAAGCGUCAUCGGGAUUGAUGGGUUGGAAAGGGCGUGUAGGCGGGAAAGCAAGUCAGAUGUGACACCGCAGGGCGCACACCUGGGACUGAAUUUGAAACUGUUUUUCUUGAGUGCUGGAGAGGAAAUCGGAAUUCCGGGUGUAGCGGUGAAAUGCGUAGAUAUACGGAGGAACACCAGUGGCGAAGGCGGAUUGCUGGACAGUAACUGACGCUGAGGCGCGAAAGCGUGGGGAGCAAACAGGAUUAGAUACCCUUGUAGUC
rnacentral:rRNA from 1 species